rnacentral:rRNA from 1 species
GCAGCAGGCACGCAAAUUACCCACUCCCAGCACGGGGGAGGUAGUGACAAAAAUAACGAUACGGGCACUCAUUUGAGGCCCCGUAAUCGGAAUGAGUACACUUUAAAUCCUUUAACAAGGAUCCAUUGGAGGGCAAGUCUGGUGCCAGCAGCCGCGGUAAUUCCAGCUCCAAUAGCGUAUAUUAAAGUUGUUGCGGUUAAAAAGCUCGUAGUUGGUUCUGCGUGCCACGCUGUCGGUUCGCCGCCUGCCGGUGCUACUGGCAUGUCGUGGCAUGUCCUGUCGGUGGGUGUUCGGGGCCCCGUGCGGGCGGCAGGAGGCCGGGCUUCGGUUCGCGUUCCUCUCUGCACGUCGGCGGGUUCACUCCGGCUCCCUAUUAUCCUACCUAGGUGCUCUUCACCGAGUGUCGAGGUAGGCCGACACGUUUACUUUGAACAAAUCAGAGUGCUUAAAGCAGGCUGAAAAAUUCUGCCUGAAUGAUGGCGCAUGGAAUAAUAAAACAGGACCUUGGUUCUAUUUUGUUGGUUCUUAGGAACACAAGGUAAUGAUCAAUAAGGACAGGCGGGGGCAUUCGUAUUGCGGGGUUAGACUUGGCAAAUGCUUUCGCGGUGAAAUUCUUGGAUCCUCGCAAGACGACCGAGAGCGAAAGCAUUUGCCAAGUAUGUCUCGAUUGAUCAAGAACGAAAGUUAGAGGUUCGAAGGCGAUCAGAUACCGCCCUAGUUCUAACCAUAAACGAUGCCAGCCAGCGAUCCGCCGAUGUUCCUCCGAUGACUCGGCGGGGAGCUUCUCCCCGGGAAACCAAAGCUUUUGGGUUCCGGGGGAAGUAUGGUUGCAAAGCUGAAACUUAAAGGAAUUGACGGAAGGGCACCACCAGGAGUGGAGCCUGCGGCUUAAUUUGACUCAACACGGGAAACCUCACCAGGUCAGGACAUUGUAAGGAUUGACAGAUUGAUAGCUCUUUCUUGAUUCAGUGGGUAGUGGUGCAUGGCCGUUCUUAGUUGGUGG